rnacentral:tRNA from 1 species
GCAGUGGUGGUUCAGUGGUAGAGCUCUUGUGUUCCAUGCAAGAGACCUAGGUUCGAUUCUCAGUUGAUACG